ensembl:lncRNA
AUUCUGAUUUAGAGAACUGUAGUAGAGAAUUUCAUUUUUCUCUACUAAGUGAGGAAUGGUACUAAUAGGGAAUGGUUUUUUCGCCAAUGGUGAAUUUAAUCAAUGGGUAUCUCCUGUAGUUCUAUAUUUGUAUCUGAACUCAGAGAGAACUUGUAGAUUUGUACAGAGUAUUCCAUGAGAAACUGCCCCAUUCCAUUACUUUUUAAAAUAAACUUAUUUCAGUGUAGGUGAUUUUUGUUUUCUAAUUUGGAAAUCAAGCACUAUGUAAUCUCCCUCAGAGGUGUAACAGUGCUCUAAUCAGCUGCAGGGAGAAGAUUCUUACAGAGACUAGCCUGUUCCAUCACAGAUGUUGACUGGGUAAACUGUAGGGAUGGUGGGGCCAGCAUGAUCAAGGCACAGAAAUUAUCACAUAGUCUGCUUGAAAGAUCCCAAUACAGAGAAAAUGGAGGGGAGAAAAGAUGGAUAAGGCUGAUGGCAAGAGAAACAUUCCCAGCCAGGUCUCUAGCAGACAGUCUGCUUCUCAUGUUCUAUAUGAAGGAAGCCAUGUAUGAAAUUGGGAUGAGCCCUUGCAUUUCAUCACAGAAAGGAUGUGCUUGGAGUGGGCAUAAGGCAUGACUCUGGUCAACAAGAUUUGAAGAUAAGACUCCAAAGCUCUUCUUGGAAGAUACAGAAAGAGAGUUCCAUCCUCCCCACUGGAUAUUAUUAUGAUCAGAUGAGACGCUUUUGGACCUACAUCCCCAAUGUUAAUAAAACUAGAUAUGAUGCUUGAAAUUGCAGCAGUCACAAUACUACCCAAAACUUAGGUCAGCAGUUGGGGAAAUUAUCAGGUAACACAGAGAUUCAGAGCCAAAUCCAUGACCUGCCAUGUACAGAGUCAACUACUACAUCGGGAUUUCUUGUUAUUUGAGGCCACAGUUUUUCCUGUUACUAAAGCCAAUUUUCACUGGGAUUUUAUAUUAUUUACUAUGAAUAGGUCUCUUCCCAGCUUGUAAAUGACCACUUUUUCCCUAUGUCAGCAAAGGACCUUUCCUUGGUCCCUAUGCAUAGAGGAUAUAGAGUAAACCCUCUGAGGUUCCUUCUUAGAACGGCAUUAAUCUCAUUAGAUCAGGAUUUAUCAAGAGGAUACUGAUAAAGCCACCUGAGAAAAAACUAUAUAUUGGAGAAACUGAAAGGCCACUCUAUUCACAGCUUAUAUUAAGGGUAAAAGCAAGAGAGGAGCAGAGAGACAAGUGAAUCACUUUGCUUUUAGGAAAGAGGUAAGAGCCUAUCCUUAGAAAAAGAUCACCCUAAUUCUUUAGAAUUAGCACAACCCAAUGAGCCAGCUGGCAUAUUCCUCCUUCCUUUUACAAAAAGAAAAAAAAAAAAAGUCCACAUCAGAGUCUAAUGAUAACAUGUCCUAAAAUGUGACAUUCAAAGCAAAAUCAGGUUUUAGUAUUAUUGUGAAGCUUACUUCAUUUAUCAUAUGUAUUCUAAUACAAAUAUGUCUGAUCUUGAUUUCUUAGCAAUGGGAGCUGGGAAAGGUCUUUCCACUAGGGAAGUGUGCUUUAGAGAAAGAACAAAUGCAAUCAGUUUGUUGGUUUGAUAGGAAGCAGGUCCAUUGAGAAAGGGUUAAGGCAAUAGGCAAUACAGUUACCAUUGUUGCCCGAAAGCCGUCUGUCCUGCCUGCUUCAUAAGGCACCCGAAUCUUAUAAUCUUAAAUAACCCCACAACUUAGUAUUCCUUGAACCCAUUUUUCUAGGAAGAAAUCUGUUUUUCAACAAAGUUAAGUAAAUAUUCCAAGAUCACACAGGUGGUAAUUAACACCAUUGGAAUAUGAAUUCAGGAUACCUGACUUAAAACAUCUAUAUUUUUCUCCAUCUUGUUUCUAGGGCAAAUAUGCUCAGUAAAAAGAAUAUCUGCACUUUGGGAGACCGAGGUGGGUGGAUCACGAGGUCAAGAGAUAGAGACCACCUGGUCAACAUGGUGAAACCCUGUCUCUACUAAAAAUACAAAAAAUUAGCUGGACAUGGUGGCACGUGCCUGUAAUCCCAGUUAUUCAGGAGGCUAAGGCAGGAGAAUUGCCUGUACCCAGGAGGCGGAGGUUGUGGUGAACUGAGAUCAUGCCGUAGCACUCCAGCCUGGAUAACAAGAGCGAAACUCUGUCUCAAAAAAACAAACAAAAAAAAGAGAAUAUCUGGAAAUACUUCAUUUGGCCAUCUUUUCUUUCCUUUUCCUUCUUUUUUCAUUUUUCUUCAUUCUUUUUAACAUAUUUUGAACUAUGAAGGACAUAAAGCUGACUCAGAACAUACCCUAUUAUUGCUGUCUACAAAAGAAGCUAAGCCAUGAACACAAAUAACUAUAACUGAAAGUGGAAAGUGAUAAACAUUUUAGGAAAGAUAAGGAUGAUGGAGGUUUAGAAAUGACUAAUUUCCUAACAAGAAUUUUGUAGGUCAGGAAUACAGUUGAAUGGUUCUCUAUGAAGACAAGAGAUCAAAAAAGAAUAUUGCAAUUAGCCAGGCAUAGAUUUAGACUUUCAGAGAUGACAACAUAUUUGGAAGAUAACCCAAGAAGCUGGAUGUAUCUCCGUUUCUGGAAAUAGUCUAUGGUCCUGGUGUUCAUGAGAGGGUCCUAAAUGUAACUUAAUUGUCCCAGGAUGUGCCAGGCUGAAUUCACGUGAGUUGACUGACUAGAGGAGUCACCACUUUCUUCAUUACACUGAGUGUGGCUUCAGUCACCGAGACACGUGUUCCUCAGUUGAACUUUCAUACAUGCUCCCUAGGCUACAGGUAGACAGUGGCCUGCCAUGGAGCAUAAAUAUGGUUUUCCAAGUCUCCUUCCAUCUCCAUUCCUAUAGGAGGACAUAUUUCGCAUGCACAUUUCCCCCCUUGGGAAUAGAGUAUGUGAGAGAGUGAGACACUUGUUUAGCUUUUUGUGCAUUAGGAAGCUAGAGAAGGUUAAUAGUAUGUCUAUGUUAAUCAUUCUCUAAAGGGACAGAAAGGUAAUUUAUUAUGCUCCAUAACUGAGAUUGGAAGAUGAAAAAAAAAGACUUAAACACUUCAAUCAAGAUGACCUUCUCUUACCCCUGAAAAGUAAGUCCUCAUUUGUCUUCCUUCUACUCAGAUAACUGUGACUAAGUACUAUUAUGUGAAUAAAAGUAUAGUAGAUUUUAAAUAGGAGGGGAUAUUAUAGUUAAUAUAGCUAUAUAUCAUCUGUGGUUUCUUGAAGCUCUUACAACAACUAUUUGUUCAUUCAAAACAAUGUUUAAAAACACCCUCAGGCUGCUUGUCCUAUUUCAUGUCACAUGGCACCAACAGACACAGGUGAUUCAUGAGCUUUAUAAAUAAAAAGCUUCUCUAAAGUGAUAGUUUCCGUAUUUUCUCGGGACUGUCAUAAAUUUAUGGACAUAGACAAAUUGGGAUAAUUUUAUAAUCUACACUUAAAGCAGAAAAAUGGGUUAUAAAUAUCCAGAUCCAGAAAUCUAAUAAGCAAAUAAUGUAAGCAAUAAGAAAAUUGCUAAAGAUUCUCUAAUUGAUUCAACUAAAAAAAGUUUAAUUGAUUCAACUUAGUCGUAGACAUUGUAGGGAAGUAAAGGUAAAGAUGAAUAGAACAUGGCUUCUCAGGGAAGUUACAGUUUACCAUAGAAUGUAAGAACAUAGCUUAACUGGUGAUGCAAGUCAAAAUCCAGUUAGUGCCAUGAGAGGCUUAGGUUGCCUGUGCCUGUGUGUCAGGUAUACAUCACAAGGGCUACGUCUUUAGAAAAGAGUUCAUGUGUUAUUUAGAGAAUCAGGAAAGGCUUCGUAAGCAGUUGAUACUUUCACUGCACCUGACUAAAUGGAUAGAACUUCAACAUAAAAAGAUGGGGAGAAAGAAUACAGAAUGUGUAAAAGGAAGGCUGUGAAUGAGCUCAGUCUUCGUGUAGACAGCAGAGCAGUUAAAAGAGCAAAAGCUGGCGUCAGACAUAAAUGCAUUCAUAUCCUGGCUCUAUUGCUGUCUAACAAUGCAAUGGAACAAAGUUGACUUAAUUUCAUUAAGCCUUAAUUUUCCCAUGUAAAAAGAGAAUAAUAAAACUAACGUAAAAUUAAUAAGGAUAUCCAGGAAUUGAACUCAGAUCUGGAACAAGUAAACUUAAUAAACAUUUAUAGAACUCUCCACUUUAAAUACACAAAAUAUACAUUCUUGUCAGUACCACAUCACACCUACUCACAGGUUUAAAUGAAAUAUUGAUCGACCAUUAUUAAGCACAAAUAUUGGCAUAAAAAAGGUUUUCAAUACCCAUUGUUAGAAUAAAGCAACAUUCCCAUUCUACCUCUUUUUCUUCCUCUUUCUUCCUCUCCUUCACUCCUUUUCUUUCCUUCUCUUUCUUUAAAAAAAAUAUAAUAAUAAAAUAAAAAAAUAACCUUAAUUGGUAUAUUUUUAAGAUUAAAUGAAAUGAUGUAUGCAAGUAUUUAUCACAGAGUCUGGCCAACGAAAGUGGUUUUUAUUAUUUCCUCUCCUGUAGUCCCUUUCACUUUUCUCUGCUUAACAAAUCCCAUUCUAUCACCUCUAAUAAGACUUUCAGCCCAUAUCUAUUCAUUCAUUUAUUCCACAAAUAUUGAGUAAUUUCUGUAUUAUUUGUUUUCUUGUCCCUAACCUCUACUGCACUUAUUUUCAACAUAAUCAUUACCUAAAGAACAGAGGGAUGUUGUGUUGUCUGCCUUUCAUAGUUCAGAACAUCACUGUAGUCAUGGGUUACAGCUUACUAGUGACCUACCGAAGAGGCAGAUGUUAGUGAUGGUCAUGUACAAGCCAAAGAAUUGGGGAAGGAAGCACUCCCUGAAAUGAGUGGCCACCCUCUAUCCCUUUUAGCACUACCAGGCUAGAAGAUUUCUGACUUAACCAGCUCCGAGCUAAUGUAGACAACAGACCCUGCCUGUGGGAUUUACUUUCUCAUUUUUAUUUGUAACUUGAAAAUACUGGCAUAAUCCAGCUUCGAUUCCAGGAAAAUCACACUGUGGAACAGUGUGAGGGUGUCAUCAGGUGCUCACAGCCCAGUAACACUAUUUGGAACAGAAGAAAUAAUGUAAAUAAAAGAAACCAAGUGCAUUAACAACUCACUUUCCUCCAUAUGUUAACAUAAUCACAGCUUUCCUUCUUUUCCACAUGGCCUCAGACUCUCUAAAAUGCAACAUCUCUCAUUUGUUUUUGUUUUUGUUUUCUACUAUAUGUUGCUGAGAAAGAAGAAACUGGAGCUAUUUUUACUACACAGAAGACAGACACACAGUUGAAGGAGCAGGGAGUCAGUGAAAGUGUCUGAUAAAUAAAGCCAAUGUCGAGUGCUCUCUGGGAGAAUGCGCUAUCCUGCGUGCAAAGUGAGCAAUGCCUGAGCCUAUUUCACUAGGUCAACUUCCUUGGAACCAAGCCUUGAAAGCCAUACAUUGCUGAUCAUCAUAAAUACAGUUUUAUUUUUGCUGUUUGUUUUGCUUCUUUAGAAAAAAUCCCCUUUCUUCUCUACCAAAAGCAGAAACAAAGACAUACUUAUAUCUCAUAGUUUCUCUG